rnacentral:rRNA from 1 species
GUCGUACGAGAGUUUUUAACUCAAGUGGCGGACGGGUGAGUAACACGUAAGAAUUUGCCUUUAGGAGGGGGAUAACAACUGGAAACGGUUGCUAAUACCCCAUAUGCUUUCGAGUGAAAUGGUUUUUCCGCCUAAAGAGAAGCUUGCGGCUGAUUAGCUUGUUGGGGAGGUAAUGGCUCACCAAGGCGACGAUCAGUAUCUGGUUUGAGAGGACGAUCAGACACACUGGAACUGAGACACGGUCCAGACUCCUACGGGAGGCAGCAGUGGGGAAUUUUCCGCAAUGGGCGAAAGCCUGACGGAGCAAUACCGCGUGAGGGAUGACGGCCUAUGGGUUGUAAACCUCUUUUUUUCAGGGAGGAAUAAAUGACGUGUACCUGAGGAAUAAGCAUCGGCUAACUCCGUGCCAGCAGCCGCGGUAAUACG